AAAAUAAUAUUGUACCAACAAUACAAUCUCUCCGGUACAAACCAAAGGCAUCAUCUCCUCCACCAUGACCGCCUCCUCCGUUUCCUCUCGCAAGGUUUUAAGCAAAAUUGCCACCAAUAGACUU